UUGUAUGGUCAAAGAGAUGGGACAGGGAAGUUACUACCACUUUGGGCUUGCAAGUGCAAUACUGUCAGAACUGAAAAUGGCAAAUGAGCAUGAACUGACAACAGACACAUUGACUAUUCGUGUGAAUGUUGAUGGGCUGCCUCUUUCACGGAGCUCUAAUAUGCAGCUGUGGCCUAUUUUAGGUUAAAUAGUUGAACUACCAAGCAAAAGUGUUUAUCAUAGGUGUAUAUGCAGGUCCCUGUAAACCUGAAUCUGUGAACGACUACAUGCAUGAUUUUAUUGAAGAUGUAAAAGCCAUCACAACAACUGGUGUAAUGUUAAGUGGGAAACAGUACAAUGUCGCACUUCCAGAUGCUUUUAUUUGUGACACUCCAGCAAGAGCUUUUUUUUAAAUGUAUCAAAGGUCAUGGUGGCUAUAGUUCUUGUGAGCGUUGCACACAGUAUGGCAUUUAUGUUGACAAUAGAGUUGUGUUUCCAGACAUGGAUUUCAGCCUGAGGACAGACACUCAGUUUGAACAAAUGUCUGAUGAAGACCACCGUCACUCUAAAUCACCUCUCCAGGGGCUAGGCAUUGGUAUGGUUUCUGCUUUUCCUCUGGACUACAUGCAUUUAAUUUGCUUGGGCAUUGUGCGUAAAUUGAUUGCUCUGUGGUUUAAGGGGCCAUUGCCAUGUCGGGUUCCAUCUUCUGUCCUUUCCGCCAUCUCUGAUCACUUGAAACUGUGUAGACAAAGCUUACCCCGGAGCUUCUCCAGAAAGCCAAGUUCUUUGUCUGAGUACAGCCAGUGGAAGGCUACAGAAUUCAGGCAGUUCUUAUUAUAUACAGGGCCAGUUGUGCUUUUUAAAAGAUUGCCCAAUCCACAUUACAAAAACUUCCUGGUUUUGUCAUGUGCUAUGAGAAUACUUCUUUCUCCUCUGUGCAGAGAGGUCUGUGGUUUUGCCAGAAAAUUGUUAAGAUUCUUUGUUACCAACUUUGCUAAGAUAUAUGAGACUAAAUUUCUGGUUAACAAUACACACAAUCUUAUACAUUUAGCAGAUGAUGCUGAAAAAUAUGGCCCUCUGGAUUCAGUUUCAUGUUUUCCUUUUGAGAAUUAUUUAGGACAGUUGAAAAAAAUGGUGAGAAGACCACAGGGUCCUGUGCAACAAAUUGUCAGACGUGUCUAUGAAAGGCAAUUAUUUCCUCACAUGUCGAAAGACAUGCCUGAAGGUGUUGAACUGAAACAGCCCCAUGCAUCUGGACCACUGCCAACAGAUUUUUCCAUGCAUCAGGGUGUUCAAUAUAAGAUGUAUAAACUCAAAGACACAAUCUUCAAACUCCAGUGGUUCCAAUUGUUUUGAACUGGGGGGCAGAGUGGCAAUUGUGAGGAAUAUUGUGCAUUCCACUGCAGAAACACAUGUAGUGUAUGCACCUUUUGCGACAGGGGCGUGUUUUUUCAACUACCCCAUUGAUUCGACAUGUCUUGGAGUUUGUUUACUAUCAAAACUGUCUGGUCAGCUUGCCAGUGCUCCAGUAACAGACUUCACAAAACCACUGCUGUUAUUGCCUCUUCAGAAAAUGUUUGUGGCUUUGCCUCAGCUACACAACACAUAACAUGAUGAACUUUGCAGGAUGCCCUCAUUCAGUGUAGUGGAGUUUGUGGAUGAAAUUGACUCUGAUGGCUGCAAGAAGGUGGACAUCAUUCCAUCAGAGUGGUUCGAGGGCACUGACGGAAAAUGAUGCUGGUGGCCACCAGCCACAUUGCUCAAUGUGACCAAGGCCGUGAAAGAGGGCACACCACCAGCUCAAAACUGGAUUCUGUGUAAUGUGCGUGUGAUGGGAAAUGCAGAGGCUCUUAAGAAGAAUUCAUUGACGGCACAGGUGAACCAGCAGGAGGCAGAGAGGGCACUGUCGAAAUGGUUCACUGGGGCAAGAGACAGAGGAGGACGA